UCCCGGGUGGUCUAGUGGCUAGGAUUCGGCGCUUUCACCAUUGCGGCCUGAGUUCGAUUCCCAGUCAGGGAA
rnacentral:tRNA from 1 species